CUUAGUUGGUUGGGUGCUAGUGAACUAUAUGUUCAAAAGAUAAAUGGAUGAGUAUAUAUGGGUGGGUGGCAAGUAUACUUCAAUGAGGAUGUUGAUUUUCUGGAUCAUGGUGAUGAUGAUGGAUGAUUUCAGUUUUAUUUAAGUAGUAGGGAUGUCGUUCCCGUUGGAUGUUGUUUGUCGGUCUAGUUUUGGUUAAGUUGUAGGGAUGUUGAUGGAUGCUUUCAGUUUAAGUUUCACUCGCAAGAAAAUAGUUAGAUUAUGCAUCACAUUUGGAUGAUGUUCCUCAUGUAAUUUCCAAUAUUGUAAUCUAACAUUUUUAUGUAAUAUAUGAUUUCUUUCUCUCG